GAUGAACGCUGGCGGCGUGCCUAAUACAUGCAAGUCGAGCGAACAGAUGAGGAGCUUGCUCCUCUGACGUUAGCGGCGGACGGGUGAGUAACACGUGGAUAACCUACCUAUAAGACUGGGAUAACUUCGGGAAACCGGAGCUAAUACCGGAUAAUAUAUUGAACCGCAUGGUUCAAUAGUGAAUGACGGUUUUGCUGUCACUUAUAGAUGGAUCCGCGCCGCAUUAGCUAGUUGGUAAGGUAACGGCUUACCAAGGCAACGAUGCGUAGCCGACCUGAGAGGGUGAUCGGCCACACUGGAACUGAGACACGGCACAGACUCCUACGGGAGGCAGCAGUAGGGAAUCUUCCGCAAUGGGCGAAAGCUUGACGGAGCAACGCCGGGUGAGUGAUGAAGGUCUUCGGAUCGUAAAACUCUGUUAUGAGGGAAGAACAAAUGUGUAAGUAACUAUGCACGUCUUGACGGUACCUAAUCAGAAAGCCACGGCUAACUACGU
rnacentral:rRNA from 1 species